rnacentral:rRNA from 1 species
GAACCCACACAAGCGGUGGAGCAUGUAGUUUAAUUCGAAACAACACGCAGAACCUUACCAGCCCUUGACAUAUUGGUCAUACUGUAGGUAGUAAUACUUAUAGCCGUACCAUUACAGGAGCUGCAUGGCUGUCGUCAGCUCGUGUCGUGAGAUGUUAAGUUAAGUCUUUAACGAGCGCAACCCUUAUCUAAUGUUGCUAACACGCAUAAUACCGUGUGCACUCUUUAGAUACUGCCUAUUGCAAAUAGGAGGAAGGAAGGGAUGACGUCAAGUCCUCAUGGCCCUUAUGGGCUGGGCUACAUAUGUGCUACAAUGGUAACUACAAAGGGAUGCAAUAACGCGAGUUGGAGCAAACCCCCAAAAGUUAUCUCAGUUCGGAUUGUUCUCUGCAACUCGAGAACAUAAAGUUGGAAUCGCUAGUAA